GCCAGGAAGGCACGUGGAGCUGUGCUGCCUAGAGCCCGGACUGAGGCAAGAUGGCGGGUUUGCGGUGAGCUGCAGUUCAGGAGUGAAGAUUGUUGUAUCUAGAAGCCGAUUUUAAAAGCAGUUUCUCUUCAGAUCAUCUUUAUACCACCUGAUAAGCAUUUUGAUUCACCAUGGCAUUGGCAGCAGUAAAAUGGGCAAUAUCAAGCAGAACUAUCUUGAAACAUUUAUUUCCAAUUCAAAACGGAGCCUUAUAUUGUGUUGGUCACAAAUCUACGUAUUCUUCUCUUCCAGAUGACUAUAAUUGCAAAGUAGAGCUUGCUCUGACAUCUGAUGCCAGGACAAUAGUAUGCUAUCACCCUUCUGUGGACAUUCCAUAUGAACACACAAAACCUAUCCCUCGGCCAGAUCCAGUGCAUAACAAUGAAGAAACACAUGAUCUAGUACUGAAAAGCAGAUUAGAAGAAAAAAGUGAACACUUAGAGCAAGGACCCAUGAUAGAACAACUCAGUAAAAUGUUCUUUACUACUAAGCACCGUUGGUAUCCUCGUGGACAGAUUACUAGGCACUUUCAGUUCUAAGAAGACUUUAAUUAGAUGCAGUUGAUUAUCCCAGGAUCUCUCCUAAUAAAGAGUUCAACAGAAAAACUCCAGAUGCUAGCUUGUGUGUACAAAGAAAAGUUUUACCUGUAUCAUAGACGUCGUAGGAAACUGAAUCCUCCAAAAGACAGAUGAUAUUGAUGUUUUUAGGAAUCAAAGAGGAAUGCUACCCUGGAUCUCAUUUGCCUUUUGAGAAGAUACAAUUGGGUAUAUUCACUAAUAUGUUAUAUAGUAAAAUAAUAAUAAAACAUCUUUUCAUAUAUUAA